GGGGUAGGUUUAGUACGUAGACGCCAUGGAUGGCGAAUCGUGCAUGCUACUGGCACGGACUAGUAGUAUCUAUUAAGAUUUCAACCUC
rfam:Glossina brevipalpis unplaced genomic scaffold Scaffold45, whole genome shotgun sequence.